AUACGGAGGGGGCUAGCGUUGUUCGGAAUUACUGGGCGUAAAGCGCACGUAGGCGGCUUUGUAAGUCAGAGGUGAAAGCCUGGAGCUCAACUCCAGAACUGCCUUUGAGACUGCAUCGCUUGAAUCCAGGAGAGGUCAGUGGAAUUCCGAGUGUAGAGGUGAAAUUCGUAGAUAUUCGGAAGAACACCAGUGGCGAAGGCGGCUGACUGGACUGGUAUUGACGCUCAGGUGCGAAAGCGUGGGGAGCAAACAGGAUUAGAAACCCUAGUAGUCC
rnacentral:rRNA from 1 species